GAACGCUGCCGAAGACAGUAGGUGCCGUAAGGCAUAAGGAUCACAACGCCUACCGAGGACUUAGUAUUCUAUAUGAGAUUACAUGAGACCUUACUGUCGUUAUGCAGUAAGGCUUUUUUUAUG
rnacentral:sRNA from 1 species